rnacentral:lncRNA from 1 species
GAGAACUUUGUGUGUCGUUGAAAUACCCUUCUUGAUUGUAUAAAGAACCUAACUAAUUAAUCUUAGCCGAUUUGAAUUUCUGACCACGUAUGAGUACUUGUGAUGUUAUUUUUCUCUAAAGUCUGUGUGUGUGAGUUGCUUCGCAUUUCAAAUGUUUUCUAUAUGCAAGCUAAAUUGCUUGAGGACAAACAAUGGUUCAAGUUUAGGGGAGUUUGAUACACCUAAAAAUAUGCUAUUUAUU